UGGGGAAUUUUGGACAAUGGGGGCAACCCGUCGAUCCAGCAAUGCCGCGUGAGUGAAGAAGGCCUUCGGGUUGUAAAGCUCUUUUGUCAGGGAAGAAACGGUAGUAGCGAAUAACUAUUACUAAUGACGGUACCUGAAGAAUAAGCACCGGCUAACUACGUGCCAGCAGCCGCGGUAAUACGUAGGGUGCAAGCGUUAAUCGGAAUUACUGGGCGUAAAGCGUGCGCAGGCGGUUGUGUAAGUCAGAUGUGAAAUCCCGGCUC
rnacentral:rRNA from 1 species